AAAAAGCGUCACAGCUUAUUAGUCCAUAACUACAAUACCAUAAUAUCCUAAAAACCCUUUAUUAAUACCGAACUAUUCUAUAUAAUUAUAGAACUAUUUAUGUUAAGACUAGUAGCAAGAAGCAACCUUCUCUUUUAAUGUAAGUGUAAACACCACCUCCAUUUAACACGCAAACUCAACGUAGCAACCUAACAAGAAAAUCCUACCACACCUGCUGUUGACCUUACACCAGAACAUUCCAAGAAAGAUUUUAAGAGAAAGAAGGAACUCGGCAAACUACGAUUCCGCCUGUUUACCAAAAACAUCGCCUCUUGCAAAACAUAAGAGGUCCUGUCUGCCCAGUGACACCGUUCAACGGCCGCGGUAUUCUGACCGUGCAAAGGUAGCGCAAUCAUUUGUUUUCUAAUUAAAGACCUGUAUGAAAGACCCCACGAGAAUCUAACUGUCUCCUCUCUCUAAUCAGCGAAAUUAAUCUCCUCGUGAAAAAGCGAGGAUUCUAACAUAAGACGAAAAGACCCUGUGGAGCUUUAAACAAACUAACAACUAAUAUACUUCAUCCACCCUAUAUUGAGAUGAUUACAAGUUUUUGGUUGGGGUGACCAUGGAGCAAAAACCAACCUCCAAGAUGAUAAAGGACCCCCUUUAACAUAAAACUACAAUUUUAUGUAUCAGAAUACUGACAUCAAUUGACCCUUCUUGAUCAACGAACCAAGCUACCCCAGGGAUAACAGCGCAAUCUGCCUCAAGAGUACAUAUCGACAAGCAGGCUUACGACCUCGAUGUUGGAUCAGGGUGUCCCAGUGGUGCAGCCGCUACUAAAGGCUCGUUUGUUCAACGAUUAAAACCCUAC
rnacentral:rRNA from 1 species